UACGGAGGGUGCAAGCGUUAUCCGGAUUCACUGGGUUUAAAGGUUGCGUAGGAGGGUAGGUAAGUCAGUGGUGAAAUCUUCGAGCUUAACUCGGAAACUGCCGUUGAUACUAUCUAUCUUGAAUACCGUGGAGGUGAGCGGAAUAUGUCAUGUAGCGGUGAAAUGCUUAGAUAUGACAUAGAACACCAAUUGCGAAGGCAGCUCGCUACACGAAUAUUGACUCUGAGGCACGAAAGCGUGUGGAUCAAACAGG
rnacentral:rRNA from 1 species